AGCGAACGCUGGCGGCAUGCCUUACACAUGCAAGUCGAACGGUAACAGCACUUCGGUGGCUGACGAGUGGCGAACGGGUGAGUAAUACAUCGGAACGUGCCCGAGAGUGGGGGAUAACGCAGCGAAAGCUGUGCUAAUACCGCAUACGAUCUACGGAUGAAAGCAGGGGACCGCAAGGCCUUGCGCUCAUGGAGCGGCCGAUGGCAGAUUAGGUAGUUGGUGGGAUAAAAGCUUACCAAGCCGACGAUCUGUAGCUGGUCUGAGAGGACGACCAGCCACACUGGGACUGAGACACGGCCCAGACUCCUACGGGAGGCAGCAGUGGGGAAUUUUGGACAAUGGGCGAAAGCCUGAUCCAGCCAUGCCGCGUGCAGGAU
rnacentral:rRNA from 1 species